rnacentral:rRNA from 1 species
CAAAACACCACCAUCGGUGCGGUCGUCCUUGGCGUUGGUCUUCAAAAGCCAGCGCGGGGGUGGCUUAGCCCGGUGGCACCGGUGAAU